rnacentral:rRNA from 1 species
CGAGCGGACAGAUGGGAGCUUGCUCCCUGAAGUCAGCGGCGGACGGGUGAGUAACACGUGGGCAACCUGCCUGUAAGACUGGGAUAACUUCGGGAAACCGGAGCUAAUACCGGAUAACACCGAGGACCUCAUGGUCCUUGGUUGAAAGAUGGCUUCGGCUAUCACUUACAGAUGGGCCCGCGGCGCAUUAGCUAGUUGGUGAGGUAACGGCUCACCAAGGCGACGAUGCGUAGCCGACCUGAGAGGGUGAUCGGCCACACUGGGACUGAGACACGGCCCAGACUCCUACGGGAGGCAGCAGUAGGGAAUCUUCCGCAAUGGACGAAAGUCUGACGGAGCAACGCCGCGUGAGCGAUGAAGGCCUUCGGGUCGUAAAGCUCUGUUGUUAGGGAAGAACAAGUACCGUUCGAAUAGGGCGGUACCUUGACGGUACCUAACCAGAAAGCCACGGCUAACUACGUGCCAGCAGCCGCGGUAAUACGUAGGUGGCAAGCGUUGUCCGGAAUUAUUGGGCGUAAAGCGCGCGCAGGCGGUUUCCUUAAGUCUGAUGUGAAAGCCCACGGCUCACCGUGGAGGGUCAUUGGAAACUGGGGAACUUUAAGUGCAGAAGAGGAAAGCGGAAUUCCACGUGUAGCGGUGAAAUGCGUAGAGAUGUGGAGGACACCAGUGGCGAACGCGACUUUCUGGUCU